UACGGAGGGGGCUAGCGUUGUUCGGAAUUACUGGGCGUAAAGCGCACGUAGGCGGCUUUGUAAGUUAGAGGUGAAAGCCCGGGGAUCAACUCCGGAAUUGCCUUUAAGACUGCAUCGCUAGAAUUGUGGAGAGGUAAGUGGAAUUCCGAGUGUAGAGGUGAAAUUCGUAGAUAUUCGGAAGAACACCAGUGGCGAAGGCGACUUACUGGACACAUAUUGACGCUGAGGUGCGAAAGCGUGGGGAGCAAACAGG
rnacentral:rRNA from 1 species